rnacentral:rRNA from 1 species
CCCUUAGAUGUCCGGGGCCGCACGCGCGCUACACUGAAGGAAUCAGCGUGGCUUUCUCCCUGACCCGAAAGGGUUGGGAAACCCGUUGAAUCUCCUUCGUGAUAGGGAUUGGGGCUUGAAAUUGUUCCCCAUGAACGAGGAAUUCCCAGUAAGCGCGUGUCAUAAGCUCGCGUUGAUUACGUCCCUGCCCUUUGUACACACCGCCCGUCGCUACUACCGAUUGAACGGUUUAGUGAGGGCCUCGGAUUGGUCUCGGCCCGCUCUUUACCGGGCGGCGCCGUUGGUCGAGAAGACGCUCGAACUUGAUCGUUUAGAGGAAGUAAAAGUCGUAACA